rnacentral:rRNA from 1 species
AGGUAGCAUAAUCAUUUGUUAUCUAAAUGAUAACUAGUAUGAAUGGUCUGACGAGAAAAUAACUUUCUAAAAAGAAGAGAUAAAAAUUUAUUUUAAAGUAAAAAAGCUUUAUAGCCUUAGAAAGACGAGAAGACCCUAGAACCUGUUCUAUUCAUAUAGUUUGUUGGGGUGACAUUAUUCAAAACAAAUAACUAUUAAAACUUAUUAAUUGACUCUAUCUAUCUUUAUUAAAAAAAAAAAAAGGUACUCUAGGGAUAACAGCAUAAUCUUCUUCUAGAGCCCUAAUCGACAAGAAAGAUUUUGACCUCGAUGUUGAAUUGAUAUUUCUUUCUAAAGCAGAAU